rnacentral:rRNA from 1 species
CGUAGGGUGCAAGCGUUGUCCGGAAUUAUUGGGCGUAAAGAGCUCGUAGGCGGUUCGUCGCGUCGGCUGUGAAAACCCGGAGCUCAACCCCGGGCCUGCAGUCGAUACGGGCGGACUUGAGUGUUGCAGGGGAGACUGGAAUUCCUGGUGUAGCGGUGAAAUGCGCAGAUAUCAGGAGGGACACCGGUGGCGAAGGCGGGUCUCUGGGCAACUACUGACGCUGAGGAGCGAAAGCGUGGGGAGCGAACAGGAUUAGAUACCCUGGUAGUCCACGCCGUAAACGUUGGGCGCUAGGUGUGGGGGCCAUUCCACGGUCUCCGUGCCGCAGCUAACGCAUUAAGCGCCCCGCCUGGGGAGUACGGCCGCAAGGCUA